GGGGAUUUGGCUCAGUGGUAAAGCGUUUGCCUAGGAAGCGCAAGGUCCUGGGUUCGGUCCCCAGCCCCG
rnacentral:tRNA from 1 species